GGUGCUGUGGCUCGGUGUAGAGCAUCCUUUUCUGGUAAACUGAGGGCACAGUGGUUUAAGAGGAAGGCGUGGGUUCGAAUCCCACUAGCAGCA